rnacentral:rRNA from 1 species
GUCGAGCGCUCUUUUCCUUCGGGGAAAGGGAGCGGCGGACGGGUGAGUAACACGUGGGUAACCUGCCGUUCAGAUGGGGAUAACGCCUGGAAACGGGUGCUAAUCCCGAAUGGGAUCCCUGCUCGCAUGGGCGGGGAAGGAAAGGCGCUUCUGGCGUCGCUGAGCGAUGGGCCCGCGGCGCAUUAGCUAGUUGGUGGGGUAACGGCCUACCAAGGCGACGAUGCGUAGCCGACCUGAGAGGGUGACCGGCCACACUGGGACUGAGACACGGCCCAGACUCCUACGGGAGGCAGCAGUAGGGAAUCUUCCGCAAUGGGCGAAAGCCUGACGGAGCAACGCCGCGUGAAUGAAGACGGUCUUCGGAUUGUAAAGUUCUGUCAUUUGGGACGAGCGACCUUGAGAGGAAAUGCUCGAGGUGAGACGGUACCAAAGGAGGAAGCCCCGGCUAACUACGUGCCAGCAGCCGCGGUAAUACGUAGGGGGCAAGCGUUGUCCGGAAUGACUGGGCGUAAAGCGCGCGCAGGCGGUCUUUCGCGUCUGGGGUGAAAGGUCAGGGCUCAACCCUGACAUGGCCUUGGAAACGG